rnacentral:rRNA from 1 species
CGAACGCUGGCGGCAGGUCUUAGGCAUGCAAGUCGAACGGAUGACAGAGAGCUUGCUCUCGUGAAGUCAGUGGCGCACGAGUGAGUAACGCGUGGGAAACUGCCCUUCACUGGGGAAUAACGUUUGGAAACGAACGCUAAUACCGCAUACGCCCGCAAGGGGAAAGAUUUAUCGGUGAUGGAUGUGCCCGCGUUGGAUUAGCCAGUUGGUGGGGUAAUGGCCUACCAAAGCAAUGAUCCAUAGCUGGUCUGAGAGGACGAUCAGCCACGCUGGAACUGAGACACGGUCCAGACUCCUACGGGAGGCAGCAGCUAAGAAUAUUGGUCAAUGGGGGAAACCCUGAACCAGCCCAUGCCGCGUGAAUGAAGAAGGCCUUCGGGUUGUAAAGUUCUUUUAGUCGUGAAGAUGAUGACAGUAGCGACAGAAAAAGCACCGGCUAACUUCGUGCCAGCCGCAGC